rnacentral:rRNA from 1 species
UUGACCUCUGACCUCAAAUCAGGUAGGACUACCCGCUGAACUUAAGCAUAUCAAAAGCCGAAAGGAA